CCACAUUACACUGAUUUUGAAGUCUAAAUUCUUUCUUGGUGUAAAGUAUUUAUGCCACAUGAUGUUGACAAGUGAAAUGUCUUUCAGUGUAUUUUGAGACAUACGGCUGUCAGAUGAAUGUCAGUGACACUGAAAUAGCUUGGUCCAUUCUUCAGAAAGCACGAUAUUCAUGGACACAUGAGCUGCCAGAGAUAUACUUCUGUAGGCAGUUGUAGUACUGCUUGUCACUUGCACCAUAAGAGAAGAGGCAGAGCAAACGAUCUGGAACUGACUCAAACAUCUCACUGCCUUAAAGAAGAGGUGUGAAUAACACAAGGCUUCAUUAAAAAUAGGUGUCCUAGGUUGCAUGGCGGAAAUACUGAAGACUAAAUUACUUGAGCAGAAGUUGGUGGAUGUUCUGGCGGGGACAGACGCAUACAGAGAUCUCCCCCGUUUACUAUCUCUUGCUUACGGAGGUCAGUGGGCCAGUGAUGUGUUGUUAUCAUUAGAGGAGACUUACGCUGAUGUCAUGCCUGUCCAUCAGACUCCAGAGGGACACAGUGCUUUUGUGUGUUACACUUAAUUCAGGAGAGAAGGAACAUCUGCCAGCUCAGAGCAGCAGCAGUCGGGUUCUUCAUGCUAUGAGACGUGGCAGCCCUGCAAAUCAUCCACAGCUGAUUGCAAUUAGCGGCAGUGAGGUUUCCCUGUUACACAGCGUGCAACAGAUAUAAAGCAGCAGAGAGACACAGCUCAGGAGGA